rnacentral:rRNA from 1 species
AGGGUAUAUGGUGGAUGUUUUGGCGCUAAGAAGCGAAGAAGGACGCAGCAGGCUGCGAAAAACCUCGGGGAGUUGCCAACAUGCGGAGAUCCGGGGGUAUCCGAAUGGGGAAACCUACUAGAACGAAGAUCUAGUAUUCAUGCCUGAAUAAAAUAGGGUAUGAAAGCAAACGGUGAGAAUUGAAACAUCUUAGUAGCACCAGGAAAAGAAAGAAAAUCUCGAUUGCCUCAGUAGCGGCGAGCGAAAGGGUAAGAGCCUAAACCAACUGCAUGUAAGGCCAGGCCCGUUGUGUAGUUGGGGUAGAGGGAGUUAUCGUGCUGUGCGCAGGGGUACAGCAGGAAGUCAAAAAAGUUGUAGCUAGCAGAACGCUAAUGGAAAGUAGCGACCAAAGAAGGUGAAAGUCCUGUAAGCGAAAGAUACAACCCUUCCAGAUAACCACCCAAGUAACGCUGGACACGUGAAACCCGGCGUGAAUCAGGGAGGCCCACCUCCUAAGGCUAAAAAUUACUUAGCGACCGAUAGCGUACCAAGUAGUGCGAAUGAAAAAUGAAAAGAACCCCGUUGAGGGGAGUGAAAUAGUACCUGAAACCAUAUACUUACAAAGCGGUAGGAGCGUUAUGGCUUGCCUGAAUGUGUAGCAUGACAGGUGUUAUAUACGAGUAUAUAACUUCUGCAGCAAGCAAAGCGUGACUACGUGCCUUUUGCAUAAUGAUCCGGCGAGUUACUGUAUGCAGCAAGGUUAAGUGAUUAAGUCACGAAGCCAAAGCGAAAGCGAGUGUUAAAAGCGCAAAAGAGUUGCAUGUAGUAGACCCGAAAGCCAGUGAUCUAACCAUGGCCAGGGUGAAGUGAAUAUAAAAAUUCAUGGAGGCCCGAAUGCACUAAUGUUGAAAAGUUAGGCAAUGAGUUGUGGUUAGGAGUCAAAGGCUAAUCAAACUGGCCAAUAUCUGGUUCUCCCCGAAAUGGCUUUCUGGCCAGCCUUAUGAAUAGUAUACGGGGGUAGAGCGACUGAAUGGAUUUAGGGGGCCACAAGCCUACCUUAUUCAACCAAACUCCGAAUACCGUAUAUAUGAUCAUGGGAGUUAGACAGCGGGGGAUAAGCUCCGUUGUCAAAAGGGAAACAGCCCAGACUGCCAGCUAAGGUCCCAAAUACAGACUAAGUGAGAAAGGAAGUGAGUGUGCAAAGACAGCCAGGAUGUUGGCUUAGAAGCAGCCAUCAUUUAAAAAGUGCGUAAUAGCUUACUGGUCGAGCAUACUCGCGCCAAAAAUUCAAGGGACUAAAGUCUGUAACCGAAGCUGCGGAUGUGGUUAAAACCACGGUUUUAAGCACGUGGUAGGGGAGCGUUCCAUAAAGGGUGAAGGGUGACUGAGAAGACACCUGGACGAGAUGGAAGUGACUAUGCCGGAAUGAGUAGCGAUAAAAUAAGUGAGAAUCUUAUUCGCCGUAAGCCUAAGGUUUCCUGGGGAAGGUAAUUCCGCCCAGGGUUAGUCGGUACCUAAGGUGAGGCCGAAAGGCGUAAUCGAUGGAUAACAGGUUAAUAUUCCUGUACUACUUACAAACGAAGGGAGCAAUCCUGAGAGUGUAAGGGGAGACGGAGAAGGCUAAAUCAACCCCGUGAAUGGACGAGCGGGGCCAGGCCCGUAGGAUGACAUGCCAGGCAAAUCCAGCGUGUCGCUAAUCUGAGGGGAGUGGGGAGCGCAAGCGAAGUGGUUGAUGCCAAGCUUCCAAGAAAAGCCUCGAACACGAGUAAAGUAAGUAACCGUACUAAAACUGACACAGGUAGGCGAGGAGAAUAUCCUAAGGCGCGCGAGAGAACCCUCGUUAAGGAACUCGGCAAAUUAACCCCGUAACUUCGGGAGAAGGGGUGCCCUUAUGGGUGAAGUUCCUAGCGAUUUGAGCCCAUGAGGGCCGCAGAGAAAUGGUCCAGGCGACUGUUUACUAAAAACACAGGACUCUGCCAAGGCGUAAAGCCGAUGUAUAGAGUCUGACGUCUGCUCGGUGCUGGAAGGUUAAGGGAAUAGGUCAGUGGCGCAAGCCGCGAAGCUUUGAACCGAAGCCCCAGUUAACGGCGGCCGUAACUAUGACGGUCCUAAGGUAGCGAAGUUCCUUGUCGGGUAAGUUCCGACCUGCAUGAAUGACGGAACGACUUGGGCACUGUCUCAACGAGGGGCUCGGCGAAAUUGUAGCAACGGUGAAGAUGCCGUUUACCCGCAACAAGACGGAAAGACCCCGUGAACCUUUACUAUAGCAUGGUAUUGUGUUUUGACGCAAGAUGUGUAGGAUAGGUGGGAGGCGAAGAAGAAGAGACGCAAGUCUUUUCGGAGCCAGCAGUGAAAUACCACCCUUAUUGCGUUAGAAUUCUAACUGGAGUCUGUGAAACCAGGCACAGGACAGUGCUAUGUGGGUAGUUUGACUGGGGCGGUCUCCUCCUAAAGAGUAACGGAGGAGUCCAAAGGUAUCCUCAGCAUGGUUGGCAAUCAUGCAAAGAGCGUAAAGGUAGAAGGAUACUUAACUGCAAGACUAAUGGGUCGAGCAGAUGCGAAAGCAGGGCUUAGUGAUCCGGUGAUUCCAAGUGGUCGGGUCAUCGCUCAACAGAUAAAAGGUACUCCGGGGAUAACAGGCUGAUCGCUUCCAAGAGUUCAUAUCGACGAGGCGGUUUGGCACCUCGAUGUCGGCUCAUCGCAUCCUGGGGCUGAAGAAGGUCCCAAGGGUUUGGCUGUUCGCCAAUUAAAGCGGUA